rnacentral:rRNA from 1 species
UGGGGAAUAUUGCACAAUGGGCGCAAGCCUGAUGCAGCGACGCCUCGUGAAGGAUGAAGGUCUUCGGAUUGUAAACUUCUAUCAGCAGGGAAGAAUAAUGACGGUACCUGACUAAGAAGCUCCGGCUAACUACGUGCCAGCAGCCGCGGUAAUACGUAGGGAGCGAGCGUUAUCCGGAUUUACUGGGUGUAAAGGGUGCGUAGGCGGCAAUGUAAGUUUGAUGUGAAACCUUAGGGCUCAACCUUAAGCAUGCAUCAAAAACUAUAUAGCUAGAGUGCAGGAGAGGAAAGUGGAAUUCCUAGUGUAGCGGUGAAAUGCGUAGAUAUUAGGAGGAACACCAGUAGCGAAGGCGACUUUCUGGACUGUAACUGACGCUGAGGCACGAAAGCGUGGGGAGCGAACA